CAGCAGCCGCGGUAAUACGAAGGGGGCUAGCGUUGUUCGGAAUCACUGGGCGUAAAGGGUGCGUAGGCGGAUUCUUAAGUCAGGGGUGAAAUCCCGAGGCUCAACCUCGGAACUGCCUUUGAUACUGGGGAUCUUGAGUCCGGAAGAGGUGAGUGGAACUGCGAGUGUAGAGGUGAAAUUCGUAGAUAUUCGCAAGAACACCGGUGGCGAAGGCGGCUCACUGGUCCGGAACUGACGCUGAGGCACGACAGCGUGGGGAGCAAACAGGAUUAGAUACCGUGUAGUCCCUGUCUCUUAUACA
rnacentral:rRNA from 1 species